UCCCAUAAAGCCAAGUUCCCGGAGGAGAUCACCCAGCUCGUCAAUGGGCUCCCCAAUGACAAGGCGACGACGCAUUUGUAUGUCAUCCAUAUCAACUUUCGAUGCCACUUUCGAUGCCACUUUCUGCGCCUACCAUGGUGACCACGGGUAACGGGGAAUCAGGGUUCGAUUCCUGAGAGGGAGCCUGAGAAACGGCUAACACAUGCAAGGAAGGCAGCAGGCGCGCAAAUGACCCACUCCCGACACGGGAAGGUAGUGACGA